UACAGAGGUGGCAAGCGUUGUUCGGAAUUACUGGGCGUAAAGGGCGCGUAGGCGGUUCGAUAAGUCCCGUGUGAAAUCCCUCGGCUCAACUGAGGAAUGGCACGGGAAACUGACGGGCUUGAGUUCGGGAGAGGGAAGCGGAAUUCCGGGUGUAGCGGUGAAAUGCGUAGAUAUCCGGAGGAACACCGGUGGCGAAGGCGGCUUCCUGGACCGACACUGACGCUGAGGCGCGAAAGCUAGGGGAGCAAACGGG
rnacentral:rRNA from 2 species